GACAGAGGCCCCAAGCGUUUAGGCGGAAUCACUGGGCUUAAAGCGUGUGUAGGCGGAUCGUUAAGUGCCUUGUGAAAUCCCACGGGCUCAACCGUGGAACUGCUUGGCAUACUGGCGGUCUUGAGCAACUAGGGCGAGCGGAACAAAUGGUGGAGCGGUGAAAUGCGUAGAUAUCAUUUGGAACGCCAAUGGUGAAAACAGCUCGCUGGGGGUUUGCUGACGCUGAGACACGAA
rnacentral:rRNA from 1 species